UACGGGGGGAGCAAGCGUUGUUCGGAUUUACUGGGCGUAAAGGGCGCGUAGGCGGCGCAACAAGUCACUUGUGAAAUCUCCGGGCUUAACCCGGAGCGGCCAAGUGAUACUGUCGUGCUAGAGUGCGGAAGGGGCUACUGGAAUUCUCGGUGUAGCAGUGAAAUGCGUGGAUAUCGAGAAGAACACUUAGGGCGAAAGCAAGACUCUGGACAAGUGUUGACGCUCAUGCACGAAGGCUAGGGUAGCGAACGGG
rnacentral:rRNA from 1 species